rnacentral:miRNA from 1 species
CAAUCUCAGCCUGUUAAUAGGAGU